CCGAGUGGUGUGGAUGUUUAUUGGGCCUAAAGCAUCCGUAGCUGGCCAAGCAAGUCCCCUGUUAAACCCAACGAUCUAAUCGUUGGUCUGCGGGGGAUACUGUUCGGCUAGGGGGCGGGAGAGGCCGCCGGUAUUCUCGGGGUAGGGGUGAAAUCCUAUAAUCCCGGGAGGACCACCAGUGGCGAAGGCUGUCGGCUAGAACGCG
rnacentral:rRNA from 1 species